AAAGGUAAGCUACUAAGAGCGAAUGGUGGAUGCCUUGACUGGUAAAGGCGAUGAAGGACGUACUAGACUGCGAUAAGCUACGAGGAGCUGUCAAGAAGCUUUGAUCCGUAGAUUUCCGAAUGGGGCAACCCAGUAUAUAGAGAUAUAUACUACCAUAAUGGAGCGAACGUAGGGAAUUGAAACAUCUUAGUACCUACAGGAAAAGAAAUCAAUAGAGAUUGCGUCAGUAGCGGCGAGCGAAAGCGUAAGAGGGCAAACCCAGUGCUUGCACUGGGGGUUGUAGGACUGCAAUGUGCAAUAAGUAAGGUUAGUAGAACACUCUGGAAAGUGUAGCCAUAGAGGGU
rnacentral:rRNA from 1 species